rnacentral:rRNA from 1 species
GAUGGGCCCGCGGCCUAUUAGCUAGUUGGUAGGGUAAUGGCCUACCAAGGCUCCGAUGGGUAGCCGGCCUGAGAGGGUGUACGGCCACACUGGAACUGAGACACGGUCCAGACUCCUACGGGAGGCAGCAGUGGGGAAUUUUGCGCAAUGGGGGAAACCCUGACGCAGCAACGCCGCGUGAGUGAUGAAGGCCUUCGGGUCGUAAAGCUCUUUUAGUGGGGACGAAGUGCAGUGGUGCUAAUAUCACCAUCGCUUGACGGUACCCACAGAAAAAGUUCCGGCUAACUCCGUGCCAGCAGCCGCGGUAAUACGGAGGGAGCAAGCGUUGUUCGGAAUCAUUGGGCGUAAAGCGCGCGCAGGCGGUCAGGUAAGUCAGACGUGGAAGCCCACGGCUUAACCGUGGAAUUGCGUUUGAUACUGCCUGGCUAGAGUUCGGGAGAGGAUGGCGGAAUUCCCAGUGUAGAGGUGAAGUUCGUAGAUAUUGGGAGGAACACCUGUGGCGAAGGCGGCUAUCUGGACCGAUACUGACGCUGAGGCGCGAAAGCUAGGGGAGCAAACGGGAUUAGAU